GUAGGUGAACCUGCGGAAGGAUCAUUAUCGAGUUUUGAACGGGUUGUAGCUGGCCUUUCACGAGGCAUGUGCACGCCUGGCUCAUCCACUCUCUUACCUCUGUGCACCCUUUGUAGGAAAGAAAAGGUUACAGACCGCUAGCCGGUUGAAGGCCUCCCUCUCUCCUAUGUUUUAUCACAAACGCUUCAGUAUCAGAAUGUUUAUCUUGCGUAACGCAUUAUAAUACAACUUUCAGCAACGGAUCUCUUGGCUCUC
rnacentral:misc_RNA from 1 species